UGCCUCCCAAUUCUUACCACAAGCUGAGUUCUUUACACUGAUUGUAUAGAAUGGGUAGGUACAAUAAAUGAUCCCAUAAACAUCUCAACACAGGCCCUUUGCCUAGUCUGCAUUGUGAACUGGAGGACAAAA